GACGAACGCUGGCGGCGUGCUUAACACAUGCAAGUCGAGCGGAAAGGCCACUUCGGUGGUACUCGAGCGGCGAACGGGUGAGUAACACGUGAGUAAUCUGCCCCUCACUUUGGGAUAGCCACCGGAAACGGUGAUUAAUACCGGAUAUGACCAUAUGUCGCAUGGCGUGUGGUGGAAAGUUUUUCGGUGAGGGAUGUGCUCGCGGCCUAUCAGCUUGAUGGUGAGGUAAUGGCUCACCAUGGCCUCGACGGGUAGCCGGCCUGAGAGGGUGACCGGUCACACUGGGACUGAGACACGGCCCAGACUCCUACGGGAGGCAGCAGUGGGGAAUAUUGGACAAUGGGCGGAAGCCUGAUCCAGCAACGCCGCGUGAGGGAUGACGGCCUUCGGGUUGUAAACCUCUUUCAGUACCGACGAAGCGAAAGUGACGGUAGGUACAGAAGAAGCACCGGCCAACUACGUG
rnacentral:rRNA from 1 species